GCAGUCGAGCGGAACGAUGGGAGCUUGCUCCCAGGCGUCGAGCGGCGGACGGGUGAGUAACACUUAGGAAUCUACCUAGUAGUGGGGGAUAGCUCGGGGAAACUCGAAUUAAUACCGCAUACGACCUACGGGAGAAAGGGGGCAGUUUACUGCUCUCGCUAUUAGAUGAGCCUAAGUCGGAUUAGCUAGAUGGUGGGGUAAAGGCCUACCAUGGCGACGAUCUGUAGCUGGUCUGAGAGGAUGAUCAGCCACACCGGGACUGAGACACGGCCCGGACUCCUACGGGAGGCAGCAGUGGGGAAUAUUGGACAAUGGGGGAAACCCUGAUCCAGCCAUGCCGCGUGUGUGAAGAAGGCCUUUUGGUUGUAAAGCACUUUAAGCAGUGAAGAAGACCUAACGGUUAAUACCCGUUAGCGAUGACAUUAGCUGCAGAAUAAGCACCGGCUAACUCUGUGCCAGCAGCCGCGGUAAUACAGAGGGUGCAAGCGUUAAUCGGAAUUACUGGGCGUAAAGCGAGCGUAGGUGGCUUGAUAAGUCAGAUGUGAAAUCCCCGGGCUUAACCUGGGAACUGCAUCUGAUACUGUUAAGCUAGAGUAGGUGAGAGGGAAGUAGAAUUCCAGGUGUAGCGGUGAAAUGCGUAGAGAUCUGGAGGAAUACCGAUGGCGAAGGCAGCUUCCUGGCAUCAUACUGACACUGAGGCUCGAAAGCGUGGGUAGCAAACAGGAUUAGAUACCCUGGUAGUCCACGCCGUAAACGAUGUCUACUAGUCGUUGGGUCCCUUGAGGACUUAGUGACGCAGCUAACGCAAUAAGUAGACCGCCUGGGGAGUACGGCCGCAAGGUUAAAACUCAAAUGAAUUGACGGGGGCCCGCACAAGCGGUGGAGCAUGUGGUUUAAUUCGAUGCAACGCGAAGAACCUUACCUGGUCUUGACAUACACAGAAUCUUG
rnacentral:rRNA from 1 species